CAUUGGACAAAUGAUCUUCCUGGAGCAAUGAUACAGAUUGGCUUUAAAGUCAGAUGGCCUAUUUUUGGCAGCUAUUCUUGGCGGAGAAACACUGAAGGAGCUGCGAAUAGCUUGCAUUGUUGCACAAAUGGAUCGUGAAGGGGGCAUCCGUCCACGACUAUCACCAUUGGCCCAAG